rnacentral:rRNA from 1 species
UAAUACGUAGGGUGCAAGCGUUAAUCGGAAUUACUGGGCGUAAAGCGUGCGCAGGCGGUCCGCUAAGACAGAUGUGAAAUCCCCGGGCUUAACCUGGGAACUGCAUUUGUGACUGGCGGGCUAGAGUAUGGCAGAGGGGGGUAGAAUUCCACGUGUAGCAGUGAAAUGCGUAGAGAUGUGGAGGAAUACCGAUGGCGAAGGCAGCCCCCUGGGCCAAUACUGACGCUCAUGCACGAAAGCGUGGGGAGCAAACAGGAUUAGAUACCCUGGUAGUCCACGCCCUAAACGAUGUCAACUAGUUGUCGGGUCUUCAUUGACUUGGUAACGUAGCUAACGCGUGAAGUUGACCGCCUGGGGAGUACGGUCGCAAGAGUAAAACUUAAAGGAAUUGACGG